UACGAAGGGGACUAGCGUUGUUCGGAAUUACUGGGCGUAAAGGGCGCGCAGGCGGCCCUCCAAGUCAGGCGUGAAAGCCCCGGGCUCAACCCGGGAAUAGCGCUUGAGACUGGGGGGCUUGAGUUCGGGAGAGGAGAGUGGAAUUCCCAGUGUAGAGGUGAAAUUCGUAGAUAUUGGGAAGAACACCGGUGGCGAAGGCGGCUCUCUGGACCGACACUGACGCUGAGGCGCGAAAGCGUGGGGAGCAAACAGG
rnacentral:rRNA from 1 species